rnacentral:rRNA from 1 species
CAGUAGCCGCGGGAAUACGUAGGUCCCGAGCGUUGUCCGGAUUUAUUGGGCGUAAAGGGAGCGCAGGCGGACAUAUAAGUCCAUCUUAAAAGUGCGGGGCUCAACCCCGUGAUGGGAAAGAAACUACAUGUCUUGAGUACAGGAGAGGAAAGCGGAAUUCCCAGUGUAGCGGUGAAAUGCGUAGAUAUUGGGAGGAACACCAGUGGCGAAGGCGGCUUUCUGGACUGCAACUGACGCUGAGGCUCGAAAGCCAGGGGAGCAAAUGGGAUUAGAUACCCCCGUAGUCCCUGUCUCUUAUACC